rnacentral:rRNA from 1 species
AUUGAACGCUGGCGGAAUGCUUUACACAUGCAAGUCGAACGGCAGCACGGACUUCGGUCUGGUGGCGAGUGGCGAACGGGUGAGUAACAUAUCGGAACGUAUCCAAUAAUGGGGGAUAACUAAUCGAAAGGUUGGCUAAUACCGCAUACGCCCUACGGGGGAAAGCUAGGGACCUUCGGGCCUGGCGUUAAUGGAGCGGCCGAUAUCUGAUUAGCUAGUUGGUGGGGUAAAGGCCCACCAAGGCGACGAUCAGUAGCUGGUCUGAGAGGACGACCAGCCACACUGAAACUAAGACACGGUCCGGACUCCUACGGGAGGCAGCAGUGGGGAAUUUUGGACAAUGGGGGCAACCCUGAUCCAGCCAUGCCGCGUGAGUGAAGAAGGCCUUCGGAUUGUAAAGCUCUUUCGGCCGGGAAGAAAUCGUAUGGGUUAAUACCCUGUGCGGAUGACGGUACCGGCAUAAGAAGCACCGGCUAACUACGUGCCAGCAGCCGCCGUAAGAC